UCUAUAAUUUAAUCUGUAAUAAGACGAGGUUUUUAACAAAAAUCUGUCUUGAAUUUUAUAGGGAGUCUGUAUUCUUUCCAUCGCCCAUUACCUCCUACUCUGGCGAGCAUCGUUCCCAGUGGAUCUCAAAUAGCUUUCGCUCACCAGCAGAUCAAGCGACACUCCAUUCCUCAAACUGAACAAGGAUUGCUGAAGAGAACUUUUAACAAGUGGUUCGGAUCAUACUUCUGAAAUCAUCUUCAAUGCGGAUGACUCAACUUUAACUCUUUCUAAUUCUUAACAAUUUCAAAACCGGGCGUUG